rnacentral:lncRNA from 1 species
GGCAGAACUAUGUCUAAGAUUAUGCACUGUAUCUUCACCAGAUGCUUCUUUGCACUGCUGCUUGCGCAUUGUGCUCUGAAUCACAUCAAGUGACACACAUAACAUGACACAAAGAAUAAGAGAGAGAAAGAGACUGAGGAGAGAGAGAAACUAAAAGAAAAGUGCUAAUAUGAGUAAUUAUUGCAGUAUGUCACUGUGCUAUUUCAAGGCUGUUCACCGCAUGCCAGAAAGUGCUCUGGGCAGGGUUUUCAUUGCAAACGUCUGCCAAAGCACUUCCCAAGGGGAUAAUGAUAAAUAUAGAUAGCAGAGAGCCAGUCUGAAGCCACUGGAGUGAAGAACAACUAAGUCCAUGCCUUGAGGUCUACAAAGCUCAUAACCCAACAGUCACUUAGUUUGCCUGGCUCAACUCCCCAAACUGUUUUGGAAGAGUUUGGCGAAUUCAAGUGAUGGAUUUUGUUCAGCUCAUCUAACUUCUCCUGAGGCCCCUGGAAUAUAUAUGACCAAGAAACAAGCACAUCCUUAAGAUGGGAACAAUGCAAAGAAGUUUUGCAUGCAAAAUGCUCCAUGUUUAAUCCCCAAGCAUUUCCAGGAAAGAUGAGCCUGUAACAUUUUCCCUCGGUGUAUACCUGAGAUCAACUUAUAUUUCACUUGUACUGUAUAUGAGUAUAUACGAAAAGUUACCAGGAGAGAUGGAUUCGUUGUUGCCUGCCUAUUUUAUUCCAUCGUCUCCUGUUGAGAAGUUGGAAACAACUCAUUUUAAAGGCUUCUUUCUUUCCCACAACCAGAGGUGGCAUUUCAACACCUCAUUCCAGAAGAAGAGUGGCUGUUGGUAGUGGCAUCAACAAUAAGAAAAGACAGCAAUAAAACCUUUGCUUUAGAUAUUUACAUUC